AACCUUAUGGACCUGCGGGCGUAUACCUGCGGAGGGAUCAUUAUCGUGGAGCUUCGGCUCCUUCGAGGGAGAACCCUUGCCUUUUCGAGCACCUGUUUGUUUCCUCGGCAGGCCCGCCUGCCAAUGGGGACCCCCAAAACUCUUGCAAUAACCCGUACAUAAUCGUCUGAACACAAAAAUCUAAAUCAAAACUUUUAACAACGGAUCU
rnacentral:misc_RNA from 1 species